AUUGAACGCUGGCGGCAUGCCUUACACAUGCAAGUCGAACGGCAGCACGGGAGCAAUCCUGGUGGCGAGUGGCGAACGGGUGAGUAAUAUAUCGGAACGUGCCCAGUCGUGGGGGAUAACUACUCGAAAGAGUGGCUAAUACCGCAUACGAUCUACGGAUGAAAGCGGGGGACCUUAGGGCCUCGCGCGAUUGGAGCGGCCGAUAUCAGAUUAGGUAGUUGGUGGGGUAAAGGCUCACCAAGCCGACGAUCUGUAGCUGGUCUGAGAGGACGACCAGCCACACUGGGACUGAGACACGGCCCAGACUCCUACGGGAGGCAGCAGUGGGGAAUUUUGGACAAUGGGCGCAAGCCUGAUCCAGCCAUGCCGCGUGCAGGAUGAAGGCCUUCGGGUUGUAAACUGCUUUGUACGGACGAAAAGGUUGGCCGUAAUAAGCUGAGCUCAUGACGGUACCGUAAGAAUAAGCACCGGCUAACUACGUAGCCAGCAG
rnacentral:rRNA from 1 species